AACGCACCUUGCACUCCUUGGUAUUCCGAGGAGUAUGCCUGUUUGAGUGUCAUUAAAUUCUCAAAUCUCAAUCAGUUUUCUGAUUUGAGACUUUGGAUGUGGGGGUUGCAGGCUUCUCAGAAGUCUGCUCUCCUUAAAUGUAUUAGUGGUUACUGAUUGACCAUAUCCUGGUGUGAUAAUAUCUACUCCAAGGGUUGGUUAGUAUUUAAAAGUAGCUGCUUCAAACAGUCCAUUAACUUGGACAAUUUUGAACCAUUUGACCUCAAAUCAGGUAGGAUUACCCGCUGAACUUAA
rnacentral:misc_RNA from 1 species